GUCGGAACUAUUAUUCUUUCUUUUCAACUGUCUCGUUUUACAACUUUGUUGUACGGAAAAUUCAUUGAAAUCGAUAAAUUGUGUUCUGCUGAUUUACCGUUAGAAACCAAAAUGAAGAUGCUGAACUUUAUGAAAAGAUACGGUAAAACUCCAUUUGGAGUAAGCAUUGGCGGAUUCUUUUAUGUCAAAAAAAACUUCUUUAUUCGAGU